UUAGAUUGCAAUGAGGAUAACAAGCUCCCUCUUCUGAAUUAAAGCUGAGGAUAAUUGCAGGCUGAAUCGAACCUAAUUAUUAUCGCCACUACUGAGUUA